rnacentral:rRNA from 1 species
GACGAACGCUGGCGGCGUGCCUAACACAUGCAAGUCGAGCGGACAGACCAGGAUCUUGCUCGUCUGACGUUAGCGGAGGACGGGUGAGUAACAUGUGUAUAACCUCCCUGAAAGACUGAUAAAAUUACGGGAAACCGGAGCUAAUACCGGAUAAUAUAUUGAACCGCAUGGUUCAAUAGUGAAAUACGGUUUUGCUGUAACUUCUAGCUGCAUCCCGGCCGUAUUAGCUAGUUGGUAAGGUAACGGCUUACCAAGGCAACGAUGCGUAGCCGACCUGAGAGGGGGAUCGGCCACACGGGAACUGAGACACGGUCCAGACUCCUACGGGAGGCAGCAGUAGGGAAUCGUCCGCAAUGGUCGAGAGCUUGACGGAGCAACGCCGCGUGAGUGAUGAAGGUCUUCGGAUCGGAAAACGCUGUUAUUAGUGAAGAACAAAUGUGUAAGUAGCUGUGCACGUAUUGACGGUACCUAAUCAAGAAGCCACGGCUAACUACGUG